rnacentral:rRNA from 1 species
AGCGAACGUUUGCGGCGGGCCUAACACAUGCAAGUCGAACGAGAAUCUCUUCGGAGAGGAAAGUGGCGCACGGGUGCGUAACACGUGGAUAACCAACCCCNGCUGUCGGGAUAACGCUGGGAAACCGGCGCUAAUACCGGGUGUGUCCGAGGUGUCAUCAGGCGCUUCGGAGAAAGACACGCAAGGGUCGCCAGGGGACGGGUCCGCGUCCCAUCAGCUAGUUGGUGAGGUAAUGGCUCACCAAGGCAAAGACGGGUAGCUGGUCUGAGAGGAUGAUCAGCCACACUGGAACUGAGACACGGUCCAGACUCCUACGGGAGGCAGCAGUGGGGAAUAUUGCGCAAUGGGCGGAAGCCUGACGCAGCCACGCCGCGUGAGCGAUGAAGGUCUUAGGAUCGUAAAGCUCUGUGGAGGGGAAGAAGAAAGCUGGUGAAGAGCCGGCCUUGACGGUAUCCCUUUAGCAAGCACCGGCUAACUCCGUGCCAGCAGCCGCGGUAAUACGGAGGGUGCAAACGUUGCUCGGAAUCAUUGGGCGUAAAGCGCGCGUAGGCGGCGAGGCAAGUUGGAUGUGAAAGCCCUGGGCUCAA